AAGUCAGAUGUGAAAGCCCCGGGCUUAACCUGGGAACUGCAUUUGAAACUGGUCAACUAGAGUAUGGUAGAGGAAAGUGGAAUUUCUGGUGUAGCGGUGAAAUGCGUAGAUAUCAGAAGGAACAUCAAUGGCGAAGGCAGCUUUCUGGACCAAUACUGACGCUGAGGUACGAAAGCGUGGGUAGCAAACAGGAUUAGAUACCCUGGUAGUCCACGCCGUAAACGAUGAUAACUAGCCGUUGGGGGGAUUUACCCUUUAGUGGCGAAGCUAACGCGUUAAGUUAUCCGCCUGGGGAGUACGGCCGCAAGGUUAAAACUCAAAUG
rnacentral:rRNA from 1 species